CCUACGGGAGGCAGCAGUGGGGAAUAUUGGACAAUGGACGAAAGUCUGAUGCAGCGACGCCGCGUGAAUGAAGAAGGAUUUCGGGUUGUAAAGCUCUAUUAGCGGGGAAGAAGAAAGACGGGUCCUGACUGAGAAGCCCCGGCUAACUACGUGCCAGCAGCCUCGGGAAUACGUAGGGGGCAAGCGUUAUCCGGAUUUACUGGGUGGAAAGGGAGCGUAGACGGCGGUGCAAGUCUGAAGUGAAAGCCCAGGGCUCAACCCUGGGACUGCUUUUGAAACUGUUGUGCUAGAGUGCUGGAGAGGUAAGUGGAAUUCCUGGUGUAGCGGUGAAAUGCGUAGAUAUUAGGAGGAACACCAGUGGCGAAGGCGGCUUACUGGACAGUAACUGACGUUGAGGCUCGAAAGCGUGGGGAGCAAACAGGAUUAGAUACCCCUGUAGUC
rnacentral:rRNA from 1 species